rnacentral:sRNA from 1 species
UGCGCCCGAACUCGCCGGCCCCAACCUGCCCUGCGCGCAGCUGACCUGCCCGGCCGCCUCACCGGGCUCCCCGAGGGAAUCCCCGCUCGCUUAAUCCGCCAGAGUUCACCGCCCCGAAACUCAGGGCUCAGAGUUAGUCAGGAGGGCGCCGGCCAGGGAAGGCGACCUACGGCUCCACAAGGCCGCCCUGAUUCUGCCCCACGGGGGCCCCCCCAGCCCCGGGGUGGCGUGGUGGAGGUGGGCGCGCACUGGAUCCAUGGGCCCUCCCGGGGUAACCCCGUCUUCCAGCUGGCUGCUGAGUACGGGCUGUUGGGGGAGAAGGAGCUGUCCGAGGAGAACCAGCUGGUGGAGACCGGGGGUCACGUGGGCCUGCCCUCCGUGAGCUACGCCAGCUCCGGGGCCAGCGUGAGCCUCCAGCUGGUGGCGGAGAUGGCGACUCUGUUCUACGGCCUGAUAGACCAGACCCGGGAGUUCCUGCACGCUGCAGAGACCCCGGUGCCCAGCGUCGGGGAGUACCUCAAGAAGGAGAUUGGCCGGCACGUGGCCGGCUGGACAGAGGAUGCGGAGACCAGGAAGCUGAAGCUGGCCGUCCUGAACU